GAGGGUAUAGCUCAAAUGGUAGAAUGCAUGUUUAGCAUGCAUGAAGUCUGGGGUUCAGCCCCCAAUACCUCCA
rnacentral:tRNA from 1 species